rnacentral:lncRNA from 1 species
UAUUUGUAUACAAAUGCUAGAAACUAUACACAAAUAAGGCUGUCUCUAAUCCAUCUGUUAUGAAACAUGCCAUAAAAACAGCAAAGAGAGAACACUGUGCAACUUCUGCUCCGGACACCCACCCUGUCUGGCUACAGCUGUGCUGGGGGUGAGGGCUCUGCCCGUUCCCAGCUGCUGAUCAUCACGUCAAUCUGCCAGCAGAGCUGAGUGUGAUCACUCUCUAAUCCCUUCCAUCCGAAAUGAACCUGUUAAGCGAAGACCUACACUUUAAAUGGCUUGAAGCGAUGUGGCACAUAGAAUUUGUUCCUAAGGGUAUGUCAGAUGUCUGAGCAACUCUGUGGAAAGAUCUGAGCAAGAAGCUAAAAUGAAGAUGAGCAGAGACUGUGAAAUUGACUUUGAGCCAAUAUGGAUUAGCAUCUUUAUUAUUGGCCUGGAUGAUGUGACAAUGGCGCACCCUCAGUGAGUUUGCAGAUCACACUGAGACUGUCUGGAAAGUAGCUUUGCAGAAAAAACGUGGGCUUCCUGGUGGACACCAAGCUGAACGUGAGCCAGCAAUGUGCUCCUGCUGGGGGGAAAAAAGUCAACAGCGUCCUGGGCUGCCUUAGGAUGAGUGUUGUAAUCAGGUCAAUUAUUCUGUCAGAGCAUAACGGAAAAAAAUACUUCUGUGAGUGGGAUCAAACACUGGAAUGAGUUGCCUGGAGAAGCUGUGGAGUUUCCAUCCUCGGAGAUAGGUGCUCCAAAAUUCAAUUGGACUGGGACCUGAGCAACCUGCUGCAGCUCGUGCUGCUUGAGCAGAGGGUUGGACUAGAUGGUCUCCAGAGAUGUUGCCAACCUCAGCUACUCUGAUUUGUGUGAGCUGCUAAUGAUGUUGGUGAUGAGCCAAACAAAGGAAUAUGUGGCUUGAUUUCUUCUGCACUAAGCUCGAUGAUUUUGGGGCACUGAUUUAGCUUGUAGGCAAUGGUAGUACAUGUGCUGUGAUUCCAGACAUGGAGAAAACUAAAUGCAAUAGAAAGAACUGAGAAAAGAUAUGGAAAGUGA